rnacentral:tRNA from 1 species
UGUGCUGUGGCUCAGCAGCAGAGCUCUUGCCUAGCAUAUGCAAGGCCCUGGGUUCGAUCCCCAGCAUCACAU